AUUCCAGCUCCAAUAGCGUAUAUUAAAGUUGUUGUGGUUAAAAAGCUCGUAGUUGGAUUUCGGUGGGUAUAGGUUGGUUUGAAUUGCUUCAAUACUGACUUUUUUACCCGUGUGUUUUGCCAGAAUUUAACGGGUGAUCUUCGCCGAUUGUCUGUUAGAACUGACAGGUUUACUUUGAAAAAAUUAGAGUGCUCAAAGCAAGCUUGAUUGCUUGAAUAUUCGUGCAUGGAAUAAUAGAAUAGGAAGUCGUUUCUAUUUUGUUGGUUUUCGGAAAUCGACUUAAUGAUUAAUAGGGACAGUCGGGGGCAUUUGUAUUCAAACGACAGAGGUGAAAUUCUUGGACCGUUUGAAGACAAACUACUGCGAAAGCAUUUGCCAAGAAUGUUUUCAUCA
rnacentral:rRNA from 1 species